rnacentral:rRNA from 1 species
AGUGAACGCUGGCGGCGUGCCUAACACAUGCAAGUCGAACGGAGUGGCGCACGGGCGGGUAAUGUAUAGCUAAUCAGCCCUACACUAGAGGACGACCGUUGGUAAGGACUGAUAAUACUCAAUAGGGUAGGAUGAGGGGAUAUUGUAUCAGCUAGUUGGUGUGGGAAUGGUUCACUAAGGCUAUGACGCAUAACUGGUCAGAGAGGAUGAGCAGUCACACUGGAAGGGAGACACGGUCGAGAAUCCUACGGGAGGGAGCAGUAGGGAAUAUUGCUCAAUGGGGGGAACCCUGAAGCAGCUACGGCGCGUGAAGGAUGACACUUUUCGGGGAGUGAACUCCUGUUGUUAGGGAAGCGGUACCUAACGAAUAAGCACCGGCUAACUCCGUGCCAGCAGCCGCGGUAAUUC